AAAUUGAAGAGUUUGAUCAUGGCUCAGAUUGAACGCUGGCGGCAGGCCUAACACAUGCAAGUCGAACGGUAACAGGAAGCAGCUUGCUGCUUCGCUGACGAGUGGCGGACGGGUGAGUAAUGUCUGGGAAACUGCCUGAUGGAGGGGGAUAACUACUGGAAACGGUAGCUAAUACCGCAUAACGUCGCAAGACCA
rnacentral:rRNA from 2 species